GGGUAUAUAGCUCACAUGGUAGAGUGUGUGCUUAGCAUGUAUGAGGUUCUGGGUUCAAUCCCUGGUACUUCUU
rnacentral:tRNA from 1 species